AAUUCUCUCUGCUUGGUUCUGAUACUUCCAAAGGCUGGAAACUGCAGAAAUACAAGAAUUGAGUCAUCUGUAAUCCCACUAUGCUGGGGAAGUUAACAACAAAGAACUGAAGAGAAAUGCUUUCCUGUUCUGUCUGCAUAAAACCUAACAUUUGUUCAGUGCAUGUUUCACAAGAUCCUGGGAGUAAGAACCAGCCAGUUCUGCAAAUGGAGAGGACGCAGAGGCCUGAGAAGAGUGGGACUCAAGGCCUGGCUGGGUGAGGAUAUCCAGUUCCUCAGCGGAAAUGGUCCUACCUUCAGGGCUGGAGCUUCAUAUCCUGGGAGUUGCCAGACCCAGCGCCAAGUUUCAACCGUUAUUGCGAUCUUCCAUGCCGAUUUCUUACCAGGACAGAACCAUGAACUCCAGGCUGCUAAGUUAUCUUAAAAAGUGGCUGGACUGGGUGCUAGAUGGCCAAGAAACAUUAACUAUCCACUGCAAGUCCAGUAAGAGGGCAUGUGUAUAUGUCAGCCUAUCACAAUGAAAAAACACC
rnacentral:lncRNA from 1 species